GAUGCUCAUCAAGUCACUCAGAACCUUAGAAAGCGGAAGAAACCGUCCCCCAGCCCGGACUGAAGCGGCUUGGGGAGGGCUGUUCGUGUCCUCGGAAGAGCAAGCGUAUUUGCGCAGGGAGGAGGCGGGGGAACAAUGGCGUGCGCGGCGCGGCAGGCGUAGAACUAUUCGUUCCCGGCAUGCACCACUCCUCCCGGUUACUAGCUGUCGAGCGGGGCAUGCUGGGAUAUGUAGUCCCCAGCGGCAACAGCCAACUUCCCGCUGCCGCCUCUUCCGCCCCUGGGGCCGGUGGUCUGAGGGAACCACUCGGGUGAUAGCCACGGGCAGCCCUGUGUCGGGGCCCCCGCGGUCACCCCUGUAGACUGCCAUGGCGGGAGAAGUGAGACUGCCGGACAAGUCCAGGUUUUGUUGGGCGCGAGGGUUGGCAGAGCUGGUAGAUGACGAUAAAGCUGCGGCCUCCUCGAGAGGCCCCGGGCCGGCUGUCCCUCAGAGCGAGCUUCACCGCCCCACCCAGGGGGGAGGCGAGGCUGAAGAGUGAGACGUUCCAGGGGGCGUUAGGUCAUCUUCGGCCCUUGGCUACACUAGUCCAGAACUCAGACAUGUGGGAGAUGCUGCUGAGGCAACAGACUGUCAUGCCAACUCCCCAUAAAGUGUGCUGGCUGCUGCCACAGUAAUUUCUGCAUUGGCAAGCUUUUUCAUUUCCAAAAGGAGAUGGUAUAUUGGUGCAGCAAGAGAGGUAUGAAUUCUCCUUCUUUAUCUUGAGCAUUAAUGCGGAAGCAUAUUUGUCAUCUGCUCUGUUCAUGGAAAAUCAGACAGAAUCAUAGAGUCAGACUGGUCAUCGAGUAGAAUUUGAAUUUUGUUCAGAUGUGAAUACAGAAUUCCUGUUUAAUGCCCAGAGGAAUAUCAGGAGACUGGGCAAACUGAUCCUCGCCCAAUCUGCUACUACUGUAUUAUCCUUCUGAACCCUCAUAUCAUAUCUGCUGACCUUCUGCUGUUAUCCUUCUAAAUCCACCGUCCAAUCCCUGCUCCCUCUGCUGAUACCUCCCAGAACAGUAAACCCAAACCUGGCCCUUCGGCACUGCCAAACAAAUGCUAUGUAUGGCAACAAGCAGACCCCACACAGUGCAGCAGAACAAAUCAGCUAAUGCCAACAGAAGCAGCACAACAAUAAAAGCUAAAAAGCCAAAGUGUUACUUGCACAUUUAUUUAAUUAGCAAGACAAAUGAGGCAGAAAGGGGCAUAAAUGUUGAAUCCUGAUGGAGGACACUGUGGCUGACACAACAUCCCUGUUCUCUGCCUUCUGUCUUCUUAAAAGCUGAAGAUAAUAUGUCUUGAGGCUCUUCUGCUUUGCUGGAGGGUCCUCGAUUUUCAAUUGUUCUGUGUUGUUGAAAUGAGUUCUUCUACUGUAAAAUGUACAUUUAUUGGCACAGUUUGAAAAACAAGAGGUUGAACUAGAACCAUAGCCACACAUGAAGUCCCACCAGCCCGUCACAAGUGAGCAAAUCAAAUGAAAUAUUUUAGUGCAAUAAUGGUAUCAAAUGUUUGACAUUUUCAGGAUGGCAGAGGGGAACCUUCUAUCUGAACUCUGAAAGAAUGUUUUAGAUUGCUUCAAAAAAUCAAGAUUCUUGCACAUUUCAAACCAUUGGCAACUAACAAGAACACCAUGGGCAGGCUGAGUGGAAGGCCAGUUUGACAUGACAUAUAACAAACCCAGCACUCUGGAUUUGUUUGUCAAUGUGUUGCCCAGAUAAAGAGUGAGGCGCACUCUAUCAGGAGUAGAAUAGAUGGCUUUGCCAAUGGUGAUUGUAACACUGGGUUCUGCCCUACUCAGAUAAAUUUUAACAAUUAUUCAAAGUAAUACAAGUUUACAUUCAUCUCAGUUCCACUCACCAUGGAUUCAUAGAUUCAUAGACCAGAAGGGACCAUUGUGAUCAUCUGGUCUGGCCUCCUGUAUAGUACAACAUAUGGAACUUCUCUGAACUAAUUUCUGUUUGAAUUAAAGUAAAUGUUUUAGAAAAAUUAUCUAAUCUUGCUUUUAAAAUUGCCAGCGAUGGAGAAUCCAUCACAACUCUUGGCCAGUUGUUCCAACAGUUAACUAUCCUCACUGUUAAAAAUGUACAGCUUAUUUCUAGUAUGAAAUUGUCUAGCUUCUGCUUCCAGACAUUGGAUGGUGUUAUACCUUUGUCUGCUAGAUUGAAGAGAACCCUCUUUUCAAAUUUCUAUUCACCACAUAGACACUUAUAGACUGAUAAGUCACCGCUUAGCCUUCCCUUUGUUAAGAUAAACAGUUGGAGUUCCUGGAAUCUAUCACUAUAAAGCACAUUUUUCCAGUACUUCAGUCAUUCCCAUGGCUCUUCUCUGAACCCUCUCAAAUUUUUCAACAUUCUUCUUGAACUGUGGACACCAGAACUGGACACAGUAUUCCAAUAGCAGUUGCAUCAGUGCCAAAUACAGAGGUAAUAUAAUUUCCUACACCUACAUGAGAUUCCAGCAUUGAUUCAUCCAACUUCUCAUUAGCCCCUAUGGUCACAGUGUCACUGUAGAUACUUGUGUUCUACUGAUUAUCCAUUGUUAUUUCAGAAUCAUUUCUUGCUAGAAUAGAGUCCCCUAUUCUGUAAGUAUGGCCUACAUUCUUUGUUUCUCUAUGUAUUUGGCCAUAACUACAUUUGGCCAUAUUAAACAGAUAUUGUUUGCUGCACCAAGUUUCCUAAGUGAUCCAGAUCAUUCUGUAUCAUUGACCUGUCCUCUUCAUUAUUUAUCACUCUCCCAAACUUUGUAUCAAAAUGUAUUAAUGAUUAUUCCUAGCUAUUAUUUUAACAGUGUAGUGCUUCCAUCUUCCACACUGAUCUCACUCCGAUUUUAUACCAGUGUAAUUUCAUUGACUUCAGUAGAAUUAUUUCUGAUUUCUACCAGCAUAAGUGAUCUCAGAACAAGGUCCAAAGAUUCCAUGUUGAAGCAACUGCCCCUCUGCCCCACAUGAUAGUGCAAUGUAACACAAAAAGGCUCCAGGGACAGCUGCCGCAUUUAAGUGGAAAAACUGGAUAGCCACAUGAGAAAAGUUGAGGAGCACUUCAUUAAUGAGAGCGUGCGGCAAAGCAGUCAUGUCUCAUGUAAAAUCUUGAUCAAGAGCUGCAAUUGUCCCUUGAUGUUAUGGGCUAACCCCCCUCUGCCACACCUUCUUUUUUUUCUUUUUUUCUUUAUGGUCUUUUUUUUUAAAUGUCUUGAAUAGUGAUGAACUUAAGCAAGUGCUUAAAUGCUUUCCUGAAUUAGAGCCAAUAAAUGUAAAGAUUCUAGCAUUUUUGUUUUGACAGUGUCUUUUUAAGUUCUAAAUGUCUAAUCAUGGUAAAUUAUCCUUCCUUUCCCUUAAAUUUCAAGAAUCUACAAUCCCUGACAAUUUAUCAUAGAAGAUCCCUGACUUUUUUUUUUUUAUGAACAAUCUGUUGUGCUGCAGAGUGCAAGUCAUUGAUAAGAUUUACCCAGCUGUCUGUGGCUUGUGUCUGCUCUGAGGUAGUUGUUAUUCUUUUCAUCAUAUUUAUUGUUGAGCCUUUCUUUUAAUUAGAAGCCACAAACAAUAGAAAAAACAUCCUGAGAUUAAUAUAGACAUUGUGCACAUCUGUAAGUGAUGAUUUAUAUAUGCCUGCACCAUAUUUAUGAUACUCUUAAAAUAAAGUAUUUGAAAUGCUAUACAAUAGUCUGGAUUAUAAUGUGUUGUUUGCAAUGCACACUAUGCAAGUAAAAUGUAUGCUGAAAACAGGAAAUGCACAUGGGGGGUAGACCUAUUUUAAGAGUAUAAUAAGCAUGGUGCUAGCAUAAACAAAUCAUAACUUAGCUUACAUAUAUAUCUAGUGACCAUAUGUAUCAUGCAUGCUUACAACCUGAAAAAAAAAUCUCAGAGAUUUUCUAUUGUCUGGUGCUUUUCACUCUACAUUUUUAAUUUUAUUUGUGGAAAUCUGGAUAUUCAUUGGGAUAUACAAUAGUCGCUUAAAGGAGAUUGAAAUGUAUAAUAUAAGGCAUAGGACAAGAUGUAUGGAUAGUUCACAUCUCAUGUCUUGGGUGAGUUCUGAGGAAUGAGACCAAAUGUAUAACUGCAUUUCAUAAACCAGUUUUCUUGCUUUUAUAUAAUGGUUUUCCUUAGAUUUCUUUUAGAACAAUAGGCUUAGGAGCUACGGACUGCAGGAGCAUACGAGAUAUAUGAAUCUGCAGAAUCUCCAUCAGCCAAUUAAAUUCUUCCUUUCCUAAUGCCAGUUGUAUACGACAUGAAAUCAAUGGACCUGAUUCUUUGCUGCCUUACACCUUGUGUAGUCAUUUAUAUUUAAACUUAUGUGAAGUGAGUGCAAAAUGGUACCACUGAUGUAAUUAAGUGGAGAAUUGUGAUUCUGUGACAUUUUACACCCACUUUGCACAAGUGUAAAUGACUAGAUAUGUAAGGUAUAAAAAGAAUCAGGUCCAUUUUAUCUGCCGAAUGACUAUCCCCAAAGUAAAUGCUCAUAUUCAUAACUAUGGCAGUUAUACAGUAACUAGUGGUAGUCAUACUGUAAAUAGCCACUAUCUAUACUCUGUUGUAUUAUUCUGAUAAAAUGAAAGAUCAAAAUUAAUUAUAUUUGCUCAUGACAAAGGAAAUGAUUACUAAUUUCAGACCCCAAACUAACAAUACCAACAUCUGAUUACUGAUUAGAAAAAAAAGCUUAUUCUUCACUGAAAAACCCUUACUGAAAUAACUAUUCUGAUAAAUGAGCAAUAUGCCCUAGGCCUGUUCUUGCUCCAGCUGAAGUCAGCCGGAAUUUUGCCAUGAAUUUAAUUGGAGCAGGAUUAUACCAAAUGGAAUGGACAACAGCCAGUCAGAUUGUUGGAUGGAAUACUCCUAGUUACUGAUACAGAACCACACUGUGCCUUCAGUAUUUCAACAGAACUGGCCAUCAGAAUCUCUGGGACAAUAUGGCGUUUGGGGCCCAAGCCUACUCCUGUUGAAGUAGAGGGAGGCUUUGCUUGAGUAAGGAUAGCAGACACUAACUCAGAUAUUUUAAAGGAGUGCAUUCACCCAAUCA